GACAGAGGGUGCAAACGUUGUUCGGAAUUACUGGGCGUAAAGCGUGUGUAGGCGGUCUCAUAAGUCGGAUGUGAAAGCCCCGGGCUCAACCCGGGAAGUGCAUUCGAAACUGCGAGGCUAGAGUAUCGGAGAGGUUGGUGGAAUUCUCGGUGUAGAGGUGAAAUUCGUAGAUAUCGAGAGGAACACCGGUGGCGAAGGCGGCCAACUGGACGAAUACUGACGCUGAGACACGAAAGCGUGGGGAG
rnacentral:rRNA from 1 species